rnacentral:rRNA from 1 species
GACGAACGCUGGCGGCGUGCUUAACACAUGCAAGUCGAACGGAAAGGCCCUGCUUUUCUGGGGUGCUCGAGUGGCGAACGGGUGAGUAACACGUGAGUAACCUGCCCUUGACUUUGGGUUAACUUCAGGAAACUGGGGCUAAUACCGGAUAGGAGCUCCUGCUGCAUGGUGGGGGUUGGAAAGUUUCGGCGGUUGGGGAUGGACUCGCGGCUUAUCAGCUUGUUGGUGGGGUAGUGGCUUACCAAGGCUUUGACGGGUAGCCGGCCUGAGAGGGUGACCGGCCACAUUGGGACUGAGAUACGGCCCAGACUCCUACGGGAGGCAGCAGUGGGGAAUAUUGCACAAUGGGCGGAAGCCUGAUGCAGCAACGCCGCGUGCGGGAUGACGGCCUUCGGGUUGUAAACCGCUUUCGCCUGUGACGAAGCGUGAGUGACGGUAAUGGGUAAAGAAGCACCGGCUAACUACGUG